CCUACGGGUGGCAGCAGUGGGGAAUAUUGCGCAAUGGGCGAAAGCCUGACGCAGCGACGCCGCGUGAGGGAUGAAGGUCUUCGGAUCGUAAACCUCUGUCAGCAGGGAAGUAAGGUCCCUGUGCUAAUCAGCAGUGAAUUGACGGUACCUGCAAAGGACGCACCGGCUAACUCCGUGCCAGCCGCCGCGGUAAUACGGAGGGUGCGAGCGUUAAUCGGAAUUACUGGGCGUAAAGCGCUCGUAGGCGGUAUGUCAAGUCAAGGGUGAAAUCCCCGGGCUCAACGUGGGAACUGCCUUUGAAACUGGCAAACUGGAGUGUGUGAAGGGAUAGUGGAAUUCCAGGUGUAGGAGUGAAAUCCGUAGAUAUCAGGAGGAACAUCAGUGGCGAAGGCGACUAUCUGGCACAUAACUGACGCUGAGGAGCGAAAGCGUGGGUAGCAAACAGGAUUAGAUACCCGUGUAGUC
rnacentral:rRNA from 1 species